GAUGAACGCUAGCGGCAGGCUUAAUACAUGCAAGUCGAGGGGUAACAUGGUAGCAAUACUGAUGACGACCGGCAAACGGGUGCGGAACACGUACAGAACCUUCCUUUAAGCGGGGGAUAGCCCAUAGAAAUGUGGAUUAAUACCCCAUAGUAUUGUUGGUUGGCAUCAACUGACAAUUAAAGAUUUAUCACUUAAAGAUGGCUGUGCGGCUGAUUAGGUAGUUGGUGUAGGUAACGGCUCACCAAGCCAUCGAUCAGUAACUGGUGUGAGAGCACGACCAGUCACACGGGCACUGAGACACGGGCCCGACUCCUACGGGAGGCAGCAGUAAGGAAUAUUGGUCAAUGGACGCAAGUCUGAACCAGCCAUGCCGCGUGAAGGAUGAAGGCCCUCUGGGUUGUAAACUUCUUUUAUCUGGGAAGAAACCACUUUUUUAUAAGGGUGUUGACGGUACCAGAGGAAUAAGCACCGGCUAACUCCGUGCCAGCAGCCGCCGUAAAAC
rnacentral:rRNA from 1 species